ACGAACGCUGGCGGCGUGCUUAACCCCUGCAAGUCGAACGGAAAGGCCCUGCUUGCCGGGUACUCGAGUGGCGAACGGGUGAGUAACACGUGGGUGAUCUGCCCUGCACUUCGGGAUAAGCCUGGGAAACUGGGUCUAAUACCGGAUAGGAGCCAUUUUUAGUGUGACGGUUGGAAAGUUUUUUCGGUGUAGGAUGAGCUCGCGGCCUAUCAGCUUGUUGGUGGGGUAAUGGCCUACCAAGGCGGCGACGGGUAGCCGGCCUGAGAGGGUGGACGGCCACAUUGGGACUGAGAUACGGCCCAGACUCCGACGGGAGGCAGCAGUGGGGAAUAUUGCACAAUGGGCGCAAGCCUGAUGCAGCGACGCCGCGUGGGGGAUGACGGCCUUCGGGUUGGAAACUCCUUUCGCUAGGGACGAAGCUUUUUGUGACGGUACCUAGAUAAGAAGCACCGGCUAACUACGUG
rnacentral:rRNA from 1 species